rnacentral:lncRNA from 1 species
GAGAACGAGGGAAGGAUCAGAAGUCCUGAGUCGUUUGCAUCGCCUCCCAAAAGUUUACUUGAAGUGAAGCCCCUCCUGGUUUCAUACUCCAUGAAGCAAACCAGUCCCGUCCGUCCCCGUGUGUCCAGUUCCCAGAGGAUGCGCCUGGGGGCUCUGGGAAGUUCCCUCCUCGACGCUGUUCCGAAGGCCUCCCAACCAUUUCUUUUUUCUUUUUUUUUUUUUUUUGAGACGGAUUUUGCCCUUGUCGCUCAGGCUGGAGUGCAGUGGCGCCAUCUCGGCUCAUUGCAACUUCCGCCUUCAGGGUUCAAGCGAUUCUCCUGCCUCAGCCUCCCGAGUAGCUGGGAUUACAGGCGCCCGCCACCAUGCCCGGCUAAUUUUUGUAUUUUUAGUAGAGACGGGGUUUCACCAUGUUGGCCAGGCUGGUCUGGAACUCCUGACCUCAGGUGAUCUGCCCGCCUGGGCCUCCCAAAGUGCUGAGAUUACAGGCGUGAGCUAUCACGCCCGGCCCCAACCAUUUCUCUUUGAGGGCAGCGACUCCCUUCCUUACCUCCAUCUUAAGCUCCAGGAUUACUUUUUGCCAUCUGCUGUAUAUUUUUACUCUGAUGAACAACCAUUUCUGUAAAUUUCAGUACUUCCAAAACCUACUAAUUAUCUUUCCCUCCAGCUACUCAAACUUGAAACUUGGGCCUUGGCUUCCAAAUCUGUUUCCCAGGGUCUUUUAUCAGUCAUCAUAUUAUGCUUUUUCCUCCAACACCUUUCUUACAUUCAUCCCUUCAUUUGUUUUUCUGUCUGCAUUGCUAUGUUCCUCUGUAUCACUGUUCUUUUCUCUCUUCUACCUUGCACUGGCUGCUAAGCUAAAUGUCAGAAGACAUCACUUUUUUUUUUUUGAGAUGGAGUUUCACUCUUGUCGCGCAGGCUGGUGUGCAAUGGCACGAUCUCGGCUUACUGCAACCUCCGCCUCCUGGUUUCAAGCGAUUCUUCUGCCUCAGCCUCCUGAGUAAGCUGGGAUUACAGGCAUGGACCAGGGCACCAUGCCCGGCUAAUUUUGUAUUUUUAGUAGAGAUGGGGUUUCACCAUGUUGGCCAGGCUGGUCUCGAACUCCUGACCUCAGGUGAUCUGCCCGCCUCGGCCUCCCAAAGUGUUGGGAUUACAGGCAUGAGCCACUGCGCCCGGCCAGCAUCACUGUCAACAUGACACAUCCCUUCAGUGGUUUCCUACUCUUUGCCAGAUCACAGUCUAGAUGCCUUGGCAUGGCAUUCCAGGCUCUCCACAGGCUCCAG